AUCCAAUAAGAGUAGAGUAGAACUGAAGAUGUCAUAAUUA
rnacentral:guide_RNA from 1 species